rnacentral:tRNA from 1 species
UCGAGGUUGGCUCAGUGGUUAGAGCGUAGGUCUCAUAACCGAAAGGUUACGGGAUUGAAUCCCGCUAGAG